UCAUGGAUUUCCGCAAAGUAACGCCUGCUUCUAUCCAAGAAUUUGAAAAUGUUGAAGACAUGUUACCUACCUAACAUCUGACUGCAUUUGUGUGUGUACGUAGUGACUCUACCACCGAUUCGGGAAGUUGAAUUAACCCAGAAAAAGCUGAAAUGAAAACCAGAAAAAUGAAACUGAAAGGCGAAAAUUAUACAAUAUUGAAAAUUUUACCAUUUUUUUCUACAUUGUGUGAGAUGUAAUCAGGCAGCUGCUUCCAAGAAACCUUGUCAUUAAGGAAUUUAUCAAUUUUAUAGUAACCUCGAUGUAUUAAAUAUGUCUUAAUACAUUGUUGAAACUUUUGCAUAGGUGAAUCUAAUAUUGCCUUGGGUAUCAUAUUAUACUCCAACAAAGUACGAUACUGUUUCAGACGAAAUACACAAAUGAAAAAUUUAUGUUAGUUUUUAGUAAAUCUUUUGCUUAUA